AUUGAACGCUGGCGGCAGGCCUAACACAUGCAAGUCGAACGAGUGGCGGACGGGUGAGUAAUGUCUGGGAAACUGCCUGAUGGAGGGGGAUAACUACUGGAAACGGUAGCUAAUACCGCAUACCAUCGGAUGUGCCCAGAUGGGAUUAGCUAGUAGGUGGGGUAAAGGCUAACAUAGGCGACGAUCCCUAGCUGGUCUGAGAGGAUGACCAGCCACACUGGAACGGAUACACGGUCCAGACUCCUAGGGGAGGCAUCAGUGGGGAAUAUUGCACAAUGGUCGCAAGCCUGAGGCAGCCAUGCCGCGUGUAUGAAGAAGGCCUGCGGGUUGUAAAGUACUUUCAGCGGGGAGGCGUUACCCGCAGAAGAAGCACCGGCUAACUCCGUGCCAGCCGCCGCGGUAAUUC
rnacentral:rRNA from 1 species